GACGAACGCUGGCGGCGUGCUUAACACAUGCAAGUCGAACGAUGACGCCUUCGGGUGGAUUUGUGGCGAACGGGUGAGUAACACGUGGGUGAUCUGCUCUGCACUUUGGGAUUAGCCGGGGAAACUGGGUCUAAUACCGAAUAUGAUCACGAACAUCUUGGUGUGUGGUGGAAAGCUUUUGCGGUGCGGGAUGGGCGCGCGGCGGACAAGCUUGUUGGUAGGGUAAGGGCCUACAAAGGCGACGCCGGGUAGCCAGCCUGAGAGGGUGUCCGGCAAGACUCGGACUGCGAUACGGCGCAGACUCCUACGGGAGGGAGCAGUGGGGACUAUUGCAAAAUGGGCGUAAGCCUGAUGCAGCGACGCCGCGUGAGGUAUGACGGCCUUCGAGUUGUAAACCUCUUUCAGCAGGGACGAAGCGAAAGUGACGGUACCUGCAGAAGAAGGACCGGCCAACAACUUGCCAGCAGCCGCAGUAACAC
rnacentral:rRNA from 1 species